CCUACGGGUGGCAGCAGUGGGGAAUCUUGCGCAAUGGACGAAAGUCUGACGCAGCCACGCCGCGUGAGUGAAGAAGGCCUUCGGGUUGUAAAGCUCUGUCGGAGGGGACGAACAUCAUUUAGGUGAAUAGCCUAGGUGACUGACGGUACCCUCAAAGGAAGCACCGGCUAACUUCGUGCCAGCAGCCGCGGUAAUACGAGGGGUGCAAGCGUUGCUCGGAAUUAUUGGGCGUAAAGGGUAGGUAGGUGGUCUCGUUUGUCAGGGGUGAAAGCCUUGGGCUUAACUCAAGAAGUGCCCCUGAAACGGCGAGACUCGAGUUCUGGAGAGGGUCGUGGAAUUCCCGGUGUAGCGGUGAAAUGCGUAGAGAUCGGGAGGAACACCAGAGGCGAAGGCGGCGACCUGGACAGAUACUGACACUCAACUACGAAAGCGUGGGGAGCAAACAGGAUUAGAUACCCCUGUAGUC
rnacentral:rRNA from 1 species